AGGGGGGGCCCUAAUACAUGCCAAGUCGAACGAACUCUGGUAUUGAUUGGUGCUUGCAUCAUGAUUUACAUUUGAGUGAGUGGCGAACUGGUGAGUAACACGUGGGAAACCUGCCCAGAAGCGGGGGAUAACACCUGGAAACAGAUGCUAAUACCGCAUAACAACUUGGACCGCAUGGUCCGAGUUUGAAAGAUGGCUUCGGCUAUCACUUUUGGAUGGUCCCGCGGCGUAUUAGCUAGAUGGUGGGGUAACGGCUCACCAUGGCAAUGAUACGUAGCCGACCUGAGAGGGUAAUCGGCCACAUUGGGACUGAGACACGGCCCAAACUCCUACGGGAGGCAGCAGUAGGGAAUCUUCCACAAUGGACGAAAGUCUGAUGGAGCAACGCCGCGUGAGUGAAGAAGGGUUUCGGCUCGUAAAACUCUGUUGUUAAAGAAGAACAUAUCUGAGAGUAACUGUUCAGGUAUUGACGGUAUUUAACCAGAAAGCCACGGCUAACUACGUGCCAGCAGCCGCGGUAAUACGUAGGUGGCAAGCGUUGUCCGGAUUUAUUGGGCGUAAAGCGAGCGCAGGCGGUUUUUUAAGUCUGAUGUGAAAGCCUUCGGCUCAACCGAAGAAGUGCAUCGGAAACUGGGAAACUUGAGUGCAGAAGAGGACAGUGGAACUCCAUGUGUAGCGGUGAAAUGCGUAGAUAUAUGGAAGAACACCAGUGGCGAAGGCGGCUGUCUGGUCUGUAACUGACGCUGAGGCUCGAAAGUAUGGGUAGCAAACAGGAUUAGAUACCCUGGUAGUCCAUACCGUAAACGAUGAAUGCUAAGUGUUGGAGGGUUUCCGCCCUUCAGUGCUGCAGCUAACGCAUUAAGCAUUCCGCCUGGGGAGUACGGCCGCAAGGCUGAAACUCAAAGGAAUUGACGGGGGCCCGCACAAGCGGUGGAGCAUGUGGUUUAAUUCGAAGCUACGCGAAGAACCUUACCAGGUCUUGACAUACUAUGCAAAUCUAAGAGAUUAGACGUUCCCUUCGGGGACAUGGAUACAGGUGGUGCAUGGUUGUCGUCAGCUCGUGUCGUGAGAUGUUGGGUUAAGUCCCGCAACGAGCGCAACCCUUAUUAUCAGUUGCCAGCAUUAAGUUGGGCACUCUGGUGAGACUGCCGGUGACAAACCGGAGGAAGGUGGGGAUGACGUCAAAUCAUCAUGCCCCUUAUGACCUGGGCUACACACGUGCUACAAUGGAUGGUACAACGAGUUGCGAACUCGCGAGAGUAAGCUAAUCUCUUAAAGCCAUUCUCAGUUCGGAUUGUAGGCUGCAACUCGCCUACAUGAAGUCGGAAUCGCUAGUAAUCGCGGAUCAGCAUGCCGCGGUGAAUACGUUCCCGGGCCUUGUACACACCGCCCGUCACACCAUGAGAGUUUGUAACACCCAAAGUCGGUGGGGUAACCUUUUAGGAACCAGCCGCCUUAAGGGGA
rnacentral:rRNA from 1 species